ACUCCUACGGGAGGCAGCAGUGGGGAAUAUUGCACAAUGGGCGCAAGCCUGAUGCAGCCAUGCCGCGUGUAUGAAGAAGGCCUUCGGGUUGUAAAGUACUUUCAGCGAGGAGGAAGGUGUUGUGGUUAAUAACCGCAGCAAUUGACGUUACUCGCAGAAGAAGCACCGGCUAACUCCGUGCCAGCAGCCGCGGUAAU
rnacentral:rRNA from 1 species